GGGUUGUGAGGUUAAGCGACUAAGCGUACACGGUGGAUGCCUAGGCAAUCAGAGGCGAUGAAGGACGUGCUAAUCUGCGAAAAGCGUCGGUAAGGUGAUAUGAACCGUUAUAACCGACGAUAUC
rnacentral:rRNA from 1 species